rnacentral:lncRNA from 10 species
CAUACUCUCAGGAAGCUGUGAAGUAGGGAGAUCUACGUGGGGGUCUCUUUGUACUGAGACUCAUCAGCAUCUCGGAAAGCAGAAGGGCCUGAAUUAUUGCAGGCACAAGUGGGAGGCUGGGACAGCAUUUCUGACUUCCUGGGAGAAGAUGUCGAAGACACAGGAGAAGACAAGCCAGGGAGAGGGGCUUAGAGCAGAUUCUCCCUUGCAGCCUCAGAAGGAAUCAGUCCUGGUCACACCUUGAUCUCAGACUUCUGGCCUCCAGAAUGGUGA